rnacentral:rRNA from 1 species
AUUGAACGCUGGCGGCAUGCCUUACACAUGCAAGUCGAACGGUAACAGGUCUUCGGAUGCUGACGAGUGGCGAACGGGUGAGUAAUACAUCGGAACGUGCCCGAUCGUGGGGGAUAACGAAGCGAAAGCUUUGCUAAUACCGCAUACGAUCUACGGAUGAAAGCAGGGGACCGCACGGCCUUGCGCGAACGGAGCGGCCGAUGGCAGAUUAGGUAGUUGGUGGGAUAAAAGCUUACCAAGCCGACGAUCUGUAGCUGGUCUGAGAGGACGACCAGCCACACUGGGACUGAGACACGGCCCAGACUCCUACGGGAGGCAGCAGUGGGGAAUUUUGGACAAUGGGCGAAAGCCUGAUCCAGCCAUGCCGCGUGCAGGAUGAAGGCCUUCGGGUUGUAAACUGCUUUUGUACGGAACGAAAAGACUCUGGUUAAUACCUGGGGUCCAUGACGGUACCGUAAGAAUAAGCACCGGCUAACUACGUGCCAGCCGCCGAGUACA